UCCUCGGUAGCUCAGCGGUAGAGCAAUCGGCUGUUAACCGAUUGGUCGUAGGUUCGAAUCCUACCCGGGGAGCCA
rnacentral:tRNA from 1 species